GACGAACGCUGGCGGCGUGCUUAACACAUGCAAGUCGAGCGGUAAGGCCCUUUCGGGGGUACGACGAGCGGCGAACGGGUGGAGUAACACGUGGGUGACCUGCCCUUACGCUCUGGGAGUAAGCCUGGGAAACGUGGGUCGUAAUACCGGAUAUGACUCCAUAACGCAUGUUGUGGGGUGGAAAGCCUUGUGCGGCUAGGGAUGGGCCCGCGGCCUAUCAGCUUGUUGGUGGGGUGAUGGCCUACCAAGGCGACGACGGGUAGCCGGCCUGAGAGGGCGACCGGCCGACACUGGGA
rnacentral:rRNA from 1 species